rnacentral:lncRNA from 1 species
UUGUCAUUUAUAGCAUUGUAGCAACAUCAGGAGGGCAACUGAUUUUAAAAAAAGAGAGAGAGAGAAAGAGAGAGAAAAUUAGAGAAUAUUAGAACUGAAAGAGAACCUGGGUAUCAUCUAAUUAGCCCAACGGUGACAAAUCAAUUUCACAUGGAGAGCCUACUUAAAUGGAGAGCCAAGGAUUCCUGGGAGUGGUGUAUUGAGAACGAUUCUGAAGAAUUCUGGAGAAAGAAGACCAGGAAAAAGCAAGAGGGAAAUGGGAGCAUGAGUGUCACCUAUCUUGUUAGAAGAAAUUCUAACCUGAUUUGGUCAUUUUAUAAAUAAAAUGGUUGGAAACUGGAAUAAAAUCUGUGGCAGACAGUGUUGGCUGUCUGGUCCAAAAAGCCCUUCUCUUACCACCAUCUUCCCUAGAAGAUAUUGUCUUCAUCUAGAGAAUCCGCAAGAGAUGAAUAGUCCCUUUACCAACACCUAUUGCAGUUAGGGUUGACAACAUGACGUAGCCCUGGUAAAUGAUCCAGGAAGGGAACUUGGCUAGGAGUUCCCACUCGAGUUAAAAUGAUAAAGUCUAGCCUUUUGACCCUUCCCCUGCUGGUGUGAUGAUGUAAACCCUGGAGCAGCAGUAGCCAUCUUGUGAUCAUGAGGCAACAGCCACAAGAUGAAAAGCAAAGAACUAAAGGUGGUCAAGUGAAAGCAUAAGAAGUGUUUGAGACUUAAAAGUCUUCAGUAAAUAACAAUGCCAGCCACUAUCCACCUUUAGGUAUUCUAUUGUGUGAGAAAAUAAUAUCGUAUUUGUUUCGGCCACUGUACUUAGACUAAAUGCUGUAAAAUAAUAUCGUAUUUGUUUCGGCCACUGUACUUAGACUAAAUGCUGUAAAAUAAUAUCGUAUUUGUUUUGGCCACUGUACU